AAUAAACCAAUUUUUCAUCUUUUACCUUUAAUUUUUGACUCUUCGUCUUAUUCAAAUUUUUUUGCGAUUGAUUUUUUUUGUUUUUAUUAGAUGAUAAAUCAUGAAUAAUACUUUACUUGUGACUAAUUUUUUUAAUUUUCUGAAAGUUUUUUAAAUAAGACGGAUGGUCAAACGUUGGACACGAAAACCGAAGAAUUCAUUUUUU
rnacentral:pre_miRNA from 1 species